UCCUUGGUGGUCCAGUGGUUAGAAAACUCUGUGUUUCCACUGCAGGGGGCCCGGGUUCAAUCCCUGGUCGGGGAA
rnacentral:tRNA from 1 species